rnacentral:rRNA from 1 species
GUUUGGUUAAGUUAGAAAGGGCGCACGGUGGAUGCCUUGACACUAGGAGUCGAUGAAGGACGGGACUAACGCCGAUAUGCUUCGGGGAGCUGUAAGUAAGCUUUGAUCCGAAGAUUUCCGAAUGGGGAAACCCACCAUACGUAAUGGUAUGGUAUCCUUACCUGAAUACAUAGGGUAAGGAAGACAGACCCAGGGAACUGAAACAUCUAAGUACCUGGAGGAAGAGAAAGCAAAUGCGAUUUCCUGAGUAGCGGCGAGCGAAACGGAACAUAGCCCAAACCAAGAGGCUUG